UACGUAGGUGGCGAGCGUUGUCCGGAUUUACUGGGCGUAAAGGGCAAGUAGGCGGUUGUUCAAGUUGGGCGUGACAGAUCUCGGCUUAACUGAGGAAGGUCGUCCAAUACUGAGCGACUAGAGGGCAGGAGAGGAAAGUGGAACUCCCGAUGUAGCGGUGGAAUGCUCAGAUAUCGGGAAGAACACCAGUGGCGAAGGCGGCUUUCUGGCCUGCACCUGACGCUGAGAGGCGAAAGCUAGGGUAGCAAACGGGCUUAGAUACCCCGGUAGU
rnacentral:rRNA from 1 species